GUGCUCACUUUGGCAACACUAUAUACUAAAAUUGGAAUGCUACAGAGAAGAUUAACAUGGCCCCUGCACAAGUAUAACAUGCAAAUUUGAGAAGUGUUCCAUAUUUAA
ensembl:snRNA U6 U6 spliceosomal RNA